rnacentral:ribozyme from 13 species
UGAAAAGGAGGAACAAAUAAAAGAAAGAAAAUAACACAGGUAGACAAUUUACACAUCCAUAUAUAAUGUCCUUUUCAUUCUCUUUUCUUUCGUUUUUUUUUCCCUUUUUUUUCUAAAAAUAUCCUUUA